UUUGAAAAACCAAAACCAAAAAAAAAAAAAGGAAAAAACAAAAAAGAAGACAUAAGAGAUUUUUAUGUUAAACACAAAACCACUUUAACUUUCGAUAAUGAAGACUCUGCAGAACAUUUAAAAGAAGAGUAUCCCACACCACCUCAAUGAUCGAAGACGACUACUAAUUACAACACAUUGUCAUGCAUAAACAUAUAUAAACAUAAAUUCAUUUAAGGAAAUCAUCAAAUUCAUAUUAGAAAUGCUGUAAAAUCCUUUUAAAAGCUUAAGAUUAAGAAAAGCUUGCUAUGUAAGAAGAUAGGAAAGGCUUCAUCGAGAACGACCUCAAGUUAAACCUCCAAGAAAGAAUACUUAUUUCGAACUUAGGGAAUGUUAUGAAAAAUUUUUAAAAGCUUUAAACCUAACAAAGAUUGUCAAAUGAAAAAUGGAAAGCUGCAAAAAGCUUUUAAAGACCUUUAACCCCAAGAUAGCUUGUUAAGUGAAAAAUGGAAAUGUUAAAAACGAUUUUUACAGUCUUUCAACUUAAGCGAAAAAAUUGAAAUCUAUAAAAAGCUUUUGAAAGCCUUUAACACAAAGCAACUUGUUAAGUAAAACAUGAAAAUUUAUGAAAAGCCAUUUCAAGCCACUUUAAACCUCGACGGAUUUCAGUGACAACUGAAAAUCAAUAAAGAGCUUUUAAAGGCCUUUAACUCAAGAUAGCUUUUAAAGGCUUUUUUAAACCUAAGAUCACUUAUAUGAAGAACAAAAAAGAUUAUAAAAAACUUGUAAAAGCCUUGAAUGCUUGCUUAUUAUUAGGUGAAAAAUGGACAAUUAUAUAAGCUUUUGAAGGCUUUUAACUAAAAACUAUUUAGGUGAAGAAUGGAUAUCUAUAAAAAGCCUUCAAAUUCCAUUAACCCAAGCUAGCUUGUUGAGUAAAUAAAACAUGGCACAAAGCUCUUAAAGCUCUUUUCAAGUGAAAAGAAAAAUCCAUUAAAAGCUAAAAUAUUUUUUCACUUAACAUCACUUAGGUGAAAAAUGUUAAUCUACAAAAAGCUUGUGAAGGCCUAAAAGCUAUAAAAAGUUUUAAAAGCCAACAGAGCAUAUUAGUUAAAAAAGGGGAAAUAAAUCUUUUACGAGGAAUAAGGAAAUUAUUUCCCUACAACACCUUAAAGAAAGAUGUUUAGAGAAGCUCUACAUAGUUUUGGAAAGAAAGGGUGAAAAGAUAAAGCUUUAAGAACAAGAUAGGUUUUACGCAAGGCAAAAAAAAAAAAAAUGCUUAAAUAGCUUAAGAUAGGGAAUCAAAAACAAAUUCUAGGAAGCUUUAGAAAGUUUCCAAGGAAAGCUUCUUAUUGUGUAGAAAACGAUUCUUAAGCGAAACAAAUCGAAUAGAAACCAACUUAGGUUGAGCUUGAAAGAACUUUUGAAAAUGCUUGGGAAGCAGAGCAAAUAGAGGAGAAAAGCAAAAAAAAAAAA